rnacentral:lncRNA from 1 species
AUUGCUUUACCUUCCUUUUCCCUUCACAAGAACAAGGAGUAAAAUAUACUCUCUCUCCCUCUCUCUCUCCCAAAGUGCAAUUUCAGAAAGUGUGAUUAUUAUCCCAACAAAAGUAAAAGAGAAUAUAAUUGAAUUUUUAUAUUAAUAUAUGGUAUGGCAAACAAGGAAAUUAAUUCACAAAUUAAUUCCAUAUAGAAUUGAAUACAGAAUUCAUUUAGAAGUAAAAGGCUUGCUAAACUAGAAUUGGUUUUAGAUAGUGUGAAGUUUGGAAAUUGGACCCAGUAUAGGUUUAGAACAGCUUGUGGUUCCCAAUAACAUAAAGAUUUGGGGAACACUGAAUCUGAACCACCAGUAUUUAUGAUUUCAAGGCUAUUCACAGAACUUCUAACUGUAAUUCCCCUCUCCAACCAUCAAAAUCAAUUGUGUACAUGCACAGCAUAUUACUGCCUCAGCAAUAAAAUAAUAAAUACCAGUAAAUAAAUUAUUAAUCAAGUGAAUAACAGAUGAAAGGGACUUUACAAAUGAAAGGCAAUACUAGCAUCUGUAUUAUUUUGACAUGUCCAUAAAAGUAGAACAUUUAAACAGGCAGUUGAUGAUAUAACAACACAAGCAGUGAGCUAUUGUUCUCUGAAUCUAAUCUCUCUUACUCUCUGGCUUGCCCUCUUCCCUGUAUAGCAAAUUCCUCUCUUGUAUAAAAUUCCGUGUUCACACUUACUCUUAGUAUCAAGGAUCAAAUAUACUUAUUUCAAACUUGAUGUUUGUGUGACCUAGCUUCAGAAGAGAAUCUCAACUUUUGAGUGACUGAACAAUUUUUUUUUUUAUUUAAAAAAUAACGAUCUUGAACAAGAAUAUUCAUCACUGUCCUACAAAUUAAGAACCCAAGACUGAACCUUCAGUUCUGAUAUCAUUUUCAACAGAUUUAAAUAAUGCUGAGGGGUAAUAUGAAGAAAGUCAGAAACAAACACAUCAACAAUAGAAGUACAUCAUGUAGAUCACCGUUUUGAGAAUUAACAAGGAUUACAAGAUAAGAACAAUCCAAUAUAGAGGUAAAGAAAAAAAAAAAAGAGGUUCACAUCUGAAGUAAAUCCAAACCCAUAUCAUCUCAACCAUUAAACUUAAUCUUCCCCACGAUUAAAUACCUUGUUGCAUGAUCUAUACAUGCUGAGGACUAAAGACAGGAAAAGUUCAUGAAAUAACUUUGGGGAGCUCUGACAUAAACAUUUUUCACGGACAGGAUUCACCCAUUGAGUAUGAAAUAACUACUAAGAGUACCAAGCAUAAGGGAUUGAAAAAUAAAUUAAAGCUUGACUUUGUCUAGGAAAUGAAGCCACAAAUAAAUAUUUAAGUGAAAGAAUUUGAUCUUAGAAUCUAGGUCACUUCCCGUUUAAUCUAUAUUAAUAAGCAACAAUUCUAUUUUCCAUAAACUUAUACCAAUUUAUUUUCCCAGUAAGCAUACUUAAAAGAGAUUAUUUCUGAAUUACUAAAACUAAUCCAUUUUGGAGUGUUGCCUAAUUCAUGGUUCAACAUGGCAUGCAAUAUGGGCAAGGAUACGAGAUAUACAAUUUUUUAUAAUUCAUGAGAUGAGGGUACACUCAAUUGGUACGCUAUAUAGGGUCACCAUACACUAAAAAAUAUUGCUCAACUCGCCUUAUAUAUAUAUAUAUAUAUAUAUAUGAAAAUCAUGCAAUACAAAGCAGCUAUUUUAUAAAAUUUGAGGUGAAUGUGUACAUAAAUUCAAGUAAUUUGGAUGAGGGUCAAAUUUAUUUUUAUGGACAAAAUUAAAUUAUUAUAUUUACCUAUCUCUUCUCACCACUUGAAACAUUUUUAAUAUUUGGAAAUUCUUCCAUUGAUUGCAUGCAUAAAGGCCUCCCAAUCAAGGCUGAUAUAGACAAAUCAAGGUCAAUAAUAUGUCCAAGGACAUUAAGGUGACUAUACAUAAAAAUGCCAGGUUUCACAUGCCUUGAUGGCAAGAAUGAUAUCCAGCUAUAUCAACAGGAGUAUCAAAUGUCUUAACUAAAGGCCCCAAGGAGAACUCAAGAAAUCAUGUCUCCGAUGCAAAUGAAUUUGCCCAAACUAAUUCAGGUUAUAAUUUCCACAAUUCAGGUUCUAGCUUUGAAGUGUCA